rnacentral:rRNA from 1 species
CUACGGGAUGCAGCAGUGGGGAAUAUUGCGCAAUGGGCGAAAGCCUGACGCAGCAACGCCGCGUGAGUGAUGAAGGCCUUCGGGUCGUAAAGCUCUGUCGGGAGGGAAGAACACCUUCGGGUCUGACGGUACCUCCCGAGGAAGCACAGGCUAACUCCGUGCCAGCGGCCGCGGUAAUACGGAGUGUGCAAGCGUUGUUCGGAAUUACUGGGCGUAAAGCGCGCGUAGGCGGCUUGAUAAGUCAGAUGUGAAAUCCCUCGGCUUAACCGAGGAACUGCAUUUGAAACUGUCAGGCUUGAGUACGGGAGGGGGAAGCGGAAUUCCCAGUGUAGAGGUGAAAUUCGUAGAUAUUGGGAGGAACACCAGCGGCGAAGGCGGCUUCCUGGACCGAUACUGACGCUGAGGCGCGAAAGCGUGGGGAGCAAACAGGAUUAGAUACCCUAGUAGUC